GAUGAAGAACGUAGCGAAAUGCGAUAAGUAAUGUGAAUUGCAGAAUUCAGUGAAUCAUCGAAUCUUUGAACGCACAUUGCGCCCCCUGGUAUUCCGGGGGGCAUGCCUGUCCGAGCGUCAUUACAACCCUCAAGCUCAGCUUGGUGUUGGGCCCCGCCGCCCCGGCGGGCCCUAAAGUCAGUGGCGGUGCCGUCCGGCUCAGAGCGUAGUAAUUCUUCUCGCUCUGGAGGUCCGGUCGUGUGCUCGCCAGCAACCCCCAAUUUUUUUCAGGUUGACCUCGGAUCAGGUAGGGAUACCCGCUGAACUUAAGCAUAUCAAUAAGCGGAGGA
rnacentral:misc_RNA from 1 species